UGUAGGACCACGUUCCGGCAUGUGUUACGGUGAGUGGAACCGCCUGGAAAGGCGGGUCAUAGAGGGUGAUAACCCCGUACACGAAACCGUAUCCAGCCCAGUGGUAUCCUGAGUAGCGCGGAGCACGAGAAAUUCUGCGUGAAUCUGCCGGGACCAUCCGGUAAGGCUAAAUACUCCCGAGAGACCGAUAGUGAACCAGUACCGUGAGGGAAAGGUGAAAAGCACUUCGAGCAGAAGAGUGAAACAGUUCCUGAAACCGUGCGCCUACAAGCGGUCGGAGCCGCCUAUUGGCGGUGACGGCGUGCCUUUUGCAUAAUGAACCUACGAGUUACUUUUUCCGGCGAGGUUAAGGGUCUUGAGACCUGGAGCCGAAGCGAAAGCGAGUCUUAAUAGGGCGUUUUAGUCGGAAGGAGUAGACGCGAAACCAAGUGAUCUACCCUUGGGCAGGUUGAAGGAUGGGUAACACCAUCUGGAGGACCGAACCGAUAAGCGUUGAAAAGCUUCCGGAUGACCUGAGGGUGGGGGUGAAAGGCUAAUCAAACUUGGAGAUAGCUCGUACUCCCCGAAAUGCAUUUAGGUGCAGCCUUGACUUAUACCGGCAUGAGGUAGAGCGACUGAUAAGAUGCGAGGGCUUCGCCGCCUAUCAAGUCUUGACAAACUCCGAAUGCUUGCCGGUUCUAUGUCAGGAGUGAGGGCACGGGUGCUAAGGUCCGUGUCCUAAAGGAGAACAAUCCGGACCAGCGGCUAAGGCCCCCAAAUGAAUACUAAGUUGAACUAACGAAGUCAGAUUGCUAAGACAGCUAGGAUGUUGGCUUGGAAGCAGCCAUUCAUUUAAAGAGUGCGUAACAGCUCACUAGUCGAGGAGUUUGGCGUGGAUAAUAAUCGGGCAUAAGUAUUCUGCCGAAGCCCUGGGAUGAUAUCAUCAUCGGUAGGGGAGCAUUCCACUCUGCGUCGAAGGCGAAGCGCGAGCUUCUCUGGAGCGUGUGGAAAAGCAAAUGUAGGUAUAAGUAACGAUAAAGGGGGUGUGA
rnacentral:rRNA from 1 species